CCAGACUCCUACGGGAGGCAGCAGUGGGGAAUAUUGCACAAUGGGGGAAACCCUGAUGCAGCAACGCCGCGUGAGUGAAGAAGUAUUUCGGUAUGUAAAGCUCUAUCAGCAGGGAAGAAGAUGACGGUACCUGAAUAAGAAGCCCCGGCUAACUACGUGCCAGCAGCCGCGGUAAUACGUAGGGGGCAAGCGUUAUCCGGAUUUACUGGGUGUAAAGGGAGCGCAGACGGCAGUGCAAGUCUGGAGUGAAAGCCCGGGGCCCAACCCCGGAACUGCUCUGGAAACUGCGUCGCUGGAGUACGGGAGGGGCAGGCGGAAUUCCUGGGGUAGCGGUGAAAUGCGUAGAUAUCAGGAGGAACACCGGUGGCGAAGGCGGCCUGCUGGACUGCAACUGACGUUGAGGCCCGAAAGCGUGGGGAGCAAA
rnacentral:rRNA from 1 species